CUCGCGCAGCAGCAGCAGCAGCAGCAUGGAGGAGCUUUUCCUCUCCGCUCCUCUACAGCGGCUGCACGGUUUCACUGAGGAGAUUCAGGGGACUGUAACUGACUGCAGAAGUGGAAGGGCAUCUACACACGGCAGCACUUCUCUCUUUCUGUCUUGCACAGUUUCUACAUAAUGACCUGUGAUUGUGAUGUAAACAGACACUCCUAAAGGUAAGACUGUUUUUGAAUUCUCUUAAAUUAUGCCUCCUUUUGUGCUUUGUAGA
rnacentral:lncRNA from 1 species